UUUAUACCAAUGGGGAUUGGGUUGCUGUCGACAUCUUCUUCUUUAUCUCUUCUGAUUAAUGUACUACGUGUCUGCAUCUCACCUCUUCCACCGCUUUCCACCACCUCCUAUAAUGUUUAUUUGAUCUUUCUUUAGAGAAGAAGUCGUCCAGUUCUUUGAUUAAUAAUCUGGCCUUUUUUUGUCUUUCUUCCGAUUGAUCAUUCCUCUCCCUUCUUCAACCUUUCGCUGACGGCGGCCGUGUUGAGGGCAUCGACUCUUCUUCUCCACAUCUACUUCCUACUGUUGUAUCUAUUUGCCCAUCUAUAAACGCGUACAACAUCGAUUUUUAUUAUCCACCGCCUGGAAGUGAAAUCCAUUCUCCGUCUUUAAUUUUUAGAUGUACACAAAUAUGGGUGAACGCGAUGACAAAGAAAGUGGAAGGACGCCCAUAUCGGCUCUCUUUCACCAUUAUUCUCUCUCCCACCGCCAUUAUCCCGCUUCAUUGCUUCACUCUGGAAAAUAACUACCUUCAAAGCUGAUUUCGACAUGAAAUCAACAACAACUAAUAACACAUAUCAAUGUUGAUGCUGGUGGUGGUGCGAUGGCGUUGGCUGCCGGUGGCAGUGGCUGGAGGUCAUGUGGGGUUGAACUUUCCUUACCGGUUGAAAGGCUGUUGUGGCGACCCUUCAAGAUGAGUCAUAAGAAAUCGAGAGGAUGAAACAAAGCAUCAUCGUUCCUCAAUUUCCUGACUAUUUUCAACAUUGAAAUAAUCAGCAAGUAUCCUCGCCCAAUUUCUCGAUGUUUUCAAAAUUUGGAUUGAAAUAUGUCUUUUCUUUCUCAGCACUCAUAGGAAAUUGUUAGGUUUUUUAAUUUGUGUUCCAUUUUUUUUUAUGAAAAUCGUAGGAGAGAGUUUUGAAGUGGAAUUGUGGCUAUGGUUAAUUAAUCUGUUCAGAAAUCAGAAGAGUGUGUAAAAAAAUACAUUUGGUUUCCUUUAUUGUAUGUUCUUUAAUAGAUUUGUCAAGUGCUUAGCAUCCUAUAUCUUCCCUUCAGCUGGUGUUGUUUUCAAAUGUUGGCGACUUAAAAAGGUACUUACUUAAAGAAGGAUUGUAUUGUUUUUGUUGUUCAAACUUUGCAUAUUUGAGGAUGCACGUGCUUGAUGAAAUGCUUCAAAGAACCGGUAAGAUUAGUUAUAUUCUAUCAUCCACUACACUAGCUUCAUUCAAUAACAACUACUUUUAAAUCUGCAUAAAAAUGAAAUUUACACUGUUGAUAUAAUUUCAUUCUCAUCUACAGUAUCUUUUGACUACAUAUUCAAGAUCUCAAAUACACGACUAAGCUGUUCAUCUUUUUUUCCUCUUUAGGUGUUGUUUGGAUUAAGUGUAUUAUGACCAUGCUAUUUAACACCUUAUCAUUUUGUUGUUGUUCAGGUGAGGGCAUUUUAUGUGAACAAUAUUCCAGAGAACACAUAAAUAGAGCAUCUUAGGGCAUUAUUUCAACACCAUAGGAAAGUCACAAAGUUUGUAAUGUCACCUACAAUGGCAGUCGGCAAACAGAAGUUUGGAUUUGUUCAUUUUGCAAAAAGGUUAACGGCUUUAAAAGUCGUCAAAGAUGGUCCAUUAUUCUUCAUUAUAUUCGGCUUCAUCCGAACCACAUCCCUCAAAAUGUUUAUGGUGGUUUUUUUGCAAAUCCGUAUGUAUAUAUUUGUUCUUUUUCAUUAAUGAAUUUUAAAUUAAAAAAAAUUAUUAUGAACCUGUAGAAUGAAUCUUUGUAUUUGGAGUUUACAUAAAGCUCUUGAAAUUAGAAAGUACUA